rnacentral:lncRNA from 1 species
AGUUGGGGUGCGAGUGUGCACACGCCCCGCGGUAGGAGGCGGGCCCACGCGGGUAGGUUUCCUCUGGCCCUCCUCUUACCCCCGCUGCAAACUUUAACUCAGGACCGGGGAGAAGCUGGAUAGGCUGACUUGCUGCUACAGUGUUUACUCUGGCGAAAGCGCCAGUCAUUCGGACAGCCACUCCUCCUGGCCGGGGUGCUCCCGCUGGUGGCCCGGCAGAGGGCGCCAGCUCCCGAUCGCUGCGCGGGCCGGCGGAGGGGAGGGGACUUGUUCGAGCCUUCAGGUAAGGAGCGUAGUGAAUCAUCCCGAGGCGGGGGACCCGAUCCUCGCUCGGUGAAAGGAGGGAGGGAGUGGCCGUGGCGCUUUUAAGAAGCUUGGGCUGCGGAGCCACUGUCCGUCGAGAAGCGGUGAUUCUGCCACCCGGAGGACUGGGGAAGGCUCAGGGAGGCUAGGAAUUUGAUGAUGACUGACGCUGCUUCCUGAACCAGUCCACUAACACCAGUGGCCUUCGAUGCUCCGUGGAUGCGUCAGGAAGGUGCUUGGCAGCUACUGGGUACCGAACGGAUCUGCAACAGUCUUAGCACCUUGCCUCAAGAUAACACCCACAUCCUUUGGCUUUUGAAGCAGAACACCUCCCAAGGUUUUUUAGGAGCAUAUUUGACAACAGAAGAGGAACUGAUACUACCCUUUUGAAAAUUGGAACUGUAAUGGGAUAUAUGGGAGACCUACCCAGUAACAGCAGAAAGCCUGUCAAAUGAGAAACAUGUCCCCCUGGGAAGAUAGUCCCAAGGACAGCAGGAGGGUGGAGUUUCUGGAUCUCACCGGAGAGGAUUGAGGUGCUUAUUUUAGUUCCCUCUCCUUCAUAUGUCCCGGCGUCAGUUUCUAUUUUGAUUGUGAGCAUCUUCCUGCAGCUGGUAGGGUGCUGACUGCCAGAGCCUUCACACGGGGGGGGGAUGAGCCGUGCCCACUGGUACCUGUCAGUCCUUCAGCAUCUAUUUAUUGAGCACUGGCCUCCUGCCUAUGAAAUACUAAGUACAUA